rnacentral:lncRNA from 1 species
UCGAGGUCAAAGGAAUAAUCUCUUGAUUAAUUUUCUCCAAACCCCUCCCUCAAUAGCAAUUAUCCGUUCCAGCAACAAUGAAUCAGCUUUAAAAAAAGCAGAUACAUCAUCAACAUUCAUAAUUCAGCACCAGCAACAGUAAAUCAGCUUUAAAAAUCAUGUACUGCAGCACGAGCAGCAAAUUACAGCAGUAACAGUGAAUUGUAUGUUGAUGCAUGUACUAUAGUGGCUGAUAGAGUCUCAUAGGCUAGGGUAUUGAUUGAAAUGGAUAUUACUAGGUCAUUACCAGGGUCAAUCAAAUUAUACGAUCAUAAGGGUAAGGUGAUCGAAUAGAUGGUGCAAUAUGACUUGGAAGCCUCAGUAUUGCUAGACAUGUUGUCAAAUAGGCCAUUCAUGUAGAGACCAAAAAAAGCAGAACCAGGAGGGAGGACAUCGAAUAGGUAUUUACCAGAAAUAAAAACAAGAAUGGAAAAUAGUGAGUGUGCUUGAUCCUAAUGUGGAUAAUAUUGAUUCUCAUGGUAGAUUCAUUGGUCAAAUGGAACCAGAAGGUGUACAAGAGAGAAUGAAGUAGAUGUUGACAAUGUAUUCAAAGCACUAGUUGAUACUGCCAAGAAGAUUGUGAAAUUAUCUGAAGCUCAGGGAACAAGAGGGAAACAGAGUAGAAGUGGUAGAAGAGGAGACCCUAAAUAAAUACUAUAUCAUGAUGAAUAUCACAACAUGGAAUGUUUUUGGGUUGAAUAAAGUGUAUAAGAAAAAAGAACAAAAAAUAAUUUGUAGAGAGAAUAAUGUGGUAGUAAUGGCUGUUCUAGAAAUUACAGUCAAGGCAACUAGUGUUGAUCCAAUAAUGAAAAAGGUGUUUAGUAAUUGGCAAUAGGUAGCUAAUUAUGAUGAGGUACCAGGAGGCAGGAUCUGGGUAGUAUGGGACCAAACAAAGAUGGAGUUUGAGUUUGUUCGAGUUCAUGAACAAUAUAUAGUAGGGCAGGGGAGCACAAGACAACACAAUAUCAUUUUCAACUUUGGUGCAAUCUAUGGAAUGCAUACUAUACAAGACAAGAAGGGUACUAUGAGAUGAUCUGAAGGGAACUAUGAAUAGGCCAAUGACCCGAGCUUAAUGAUGGGGGAUUUCAAUGCCAUUCUGUCUAUUGAGGAUAGAGUGCAGGGGAAUCUAGUACAAGAGAGAUAAGUGAGAUUGUAAGCGCGUGUGAAGAAAGUUCACCUGGACAAACAAUCAUGUUCCUAGUAGAAUUGACAGAAUAUUGGUUAAUGCAGAGUGGAUUCAGAAAUGGUCUGCCAUGGAUAUGAACCCAGAAUUUUCAGAUUGUUUUCCUUUGAAAUAACCAUUGAUGAUACUAAGCAAGAAGGUAAGACACAUUUCAAGUUUUUCAACAGUUUGACCAGCCACCAAGAUUUUGAUGAAAUAGUCAAGCAAUGCUGGAGAAGAGAUACAGGGAAAAUGCAAUGCUAAAUAUGUGGAAUAAGCUCAAAAAAACUAAAAGGAGAUCUAAAGCAGCCGAAUAACCAAUAAUAUAGUAGUACUAGGCACAAGAUUCAAGUAGCAAGGAACAAAUUAGAAAGCAUUCAAGUGCAUAUGAUACUUCCAGGAAAUGACAAUGAAUCAAUAUUACAAGAAAAAACUGCUAAAUUUGAGUUGACAAAAUGGUUGGAAGUGGAGGAUAGUGUUUUGAAGCAGAAAUCUAGAAUCAAAUGACUUAAGCUAAGGGAUUCUAACACAACAUAUUUUCAUGACUGUGAAAAAUAGACAAGCAAGGAAUCAUAUUGGUAGGUUGAUUGACAGUGCAGGGCAAAUUCUCCAAAGUGACACUAAAGUAGAAGACGACACACUGAGUUUCUACAAAAAACUACUUGGCACAGCAGCUCCACAACUGCCAAUAGUUAUCCUAGAAAUCAUGCAGAAUGGCUACACUUUGACCAGGCGGCAACAAUUGCAGCUAAUCAAGCCAACUAAUAGAGGAAGUGAAGAAAGCUAUACAAGGCAUUGACGAUAAUAAAACACCAGGAUGUGAUGGUUAUGAUUCUUAUUUUUUCAAGAAGGCAUGACACAUACUUGGUGAUGACGUCACUACAACAGCUCCAGGCCGAAGUGAUGAAAAGGCGAACAGUCGUAUAUCGUAAUAUAAUAUAAAAAGGUCCAUGAGAGAAGAAGCCUACCGUCCAUAGCUCCGUCUCUCUUUUCUUAGCUUUGCUCAUUUAGUCCGAACUUUGGUGAGGCAAAAACAUCAAUGAAUAUAGGCUUAUUUCUUGUUGCAUAGUGUUGUACAAGAUAAUAUCAAAAGUCUAACAACAAGAUUACAGGAAGUUAUGAUAUACCUAAUAGAUAACUUCCAAACUGCUUUAGACCACGCUGGAAAUAUAAGCACCAGAAAGAAGGAAAUAAGAGAUUUCCAACAUAUAAUCAUACCUUUAGACCACUUAAAUUUCAGUAAACCAACCAAUAUUAAGCUGUUAAAACCUCUUGUUUGAGAAAUAGGUGAAG